rnacentral:rRNA from 1 species
UAGGGAAUCUUCCGCAAUGGACGCAAGUCUGACGGAGCAACGCCGCGUGAGUGAAGAAGGAUUUCGGUUCGUAAAACUCUGUUGUUAGAGAAGAACAGCGCAUAGAGUAACUGUUAUGCGUGUGACGGUAUCUAACCAGAAAGCCACGGCUAACUACGUGCCAGCAGCCGCGGUAAUACGUAGGUGGCAAGCGUUGUCCGGAUUUAUUGGGCGUAAAGCGAGCGCAGGCGGUCAAUUAAGUCUGAUGUGAAAGCACCCGGCUCAACCGGGGAGGGUCAUUGGAAACUGGUUGACUUGAGUGCAGAAGAGGAGAGUGGAAUUCCGUGUGUAGCGGUGAAAUGCGUAGAUAUAUGGAGGAACACCAGUGGCGAAGGCGACUCUCUGGUCUGUAACUGACGCUGAGGCUCGAAAGCGUGGGUAGCAAACAGG